rnacentral:rRNA from 1 species
AUUGAACGCUGGCGGCGUGCCUAACACAUGCAAGUCGAGCGGUAACAGGUGUAGCAAUACAUGCUGACGAGCGGCGGACGGGUGAGUAACGCUUGGGAAUCUGCCUGAUAGUGGGGGACAACCCGGGGAAACUCGGGCUAAUACCGCAUACGCACUACGGUGGAAAGCCGGGGACCGCAAGGCCUGGCGCUAACAGAUGAGCCCAAGUCGGAUUAGCUAGUUGGUAGGGUAACGGCCUACCAAGGCGACGAUCCGUAACUGGUCUGAGAGGACGACCAGUCACACCGGAACUGAGACACGGUCCGGACUCCUACGGGAGGCAGCAGUGGGGAAUAUUGGACAAUGGGCGAAAGCCUGAUCCAGCGACGCCGCGUGGGUGAAGAAGGCCUGCGGGUUGUAAAGCCCUUUCGGUGGGGAAGAAAAGCCUCGAGCUAAUACCUCGGGGUCUUGACGUAACCCAUAGAAGAAGCACCGGCUAACUCUGUGCCAGCAGCCGCGGUAA